CUUCUUUCGUUUCGCCUUCUUUCAUUUCGCCUUUGAUCUAUACCCUUUUUCGAUUUUACUUAUUCUCUCGAUCUGAUAAGUUUCGAUCCAUUCUUGUUUUCGCUUUUCAAUUUCAUCUCCUCCCUUGCUUGAUUCGCUCUGUUCUCAUCAGAUCUAUUCCUCUGUUGAUUUCAGAUCUAGAUCUAGGGUUUGUUUGGAUAAAAUUUGGGGAUUUUGAAAAAAAAGAAGGAAUGAUUGUAGGUUCUCUAUGAGCUACUCUGUUCUUCUUCGUCGUAUUCGCAUAGUUCACUCUUUCUCCGUCGUUUAUCUCUACUACUCCUACGUCUUCUCUUGAACUAAUCGUCUCCGAUCUCAUCUCUUUAGCUCUCUCGAAUAAACAUUUCUGAGUUUUUUUUCCGGUUCAAUCUAACCGAUUCUUUGAUAGAUCAGAAUUUGGGGGUAAUUUAUAGGGAUUUAGAGGAAGUAUAUUAUUAUUAUUAUUAUUAUAUUGUUUUAAUUUUGGAGGAAAAAGUCAAAAAGUCAACAAAAAUGGGGUCAAAAAGUCCUGAUUCCGACAGCGAUCCGAGGUACGCGGCAGUCACGGACGAGAGGAAGAGGAAGAGAAUGAUCUCCAACAGAGAAUCCGCUCGGAGAUCAAGGAUGAGGAAACAGAAGCAGCUCGGCGAUCUCAUCAACGAGGUCACCGUUCUCAAGAACGACAACGCCAAGAUCGCCGAGCAGGUCGACGCAGCUACGAGGAAGUACGUCGAGAUGGAGUCCAAGAACGACGUCUUGAGAGCGCAAGCUUCGGAGCUGACGGAGAGGUUGAGGUCGUUGAACUCUGUGCUCGAGAUGGUCGAGGAGAUUAGUGGACAGGCGUUGGAUAUUCCCGAGAUUCCUGAUUCUAUGCAGAACCCGUGGCAGGUUCCUUGUCCGAUCAUGCAAACCAAUCAUGGCUUCUGCUGAGGAUUUUAACUCAUUGUCUUGUCUCGGUUCUGAGUUUUGUAACAACUAGAGUCAUUGGUGUGUGUCGUCUUACUUUUUUAAACUACAAUCUCUUGUUUUUGAGUUAUUUCAGUUUGUCUGGUCUUGUCUUAGUUUUCUAUUCUUGUGUCGUCUAUUACAUAAAGAUAAGGUUGUCAUGUAUUUGUGUUUCUUAAUGAAAUUCGAGCUUUGUGUUGCUUUUUUU